rnacentral:snRNA from 1 species
GUGCUCGCUUCAGCAGCACAUACACUAAAAUUGGAAUGACACAGAGAAGACUAGCAUGGCCCCGGACAAGGAUGACAUGCAAAUUCGUGAAGCGUUGUGUAUUUUU